rnacentral:lncRNA from 1 species
ACCAAUUCUUUGACGGAUGGGUUGUAUCCUUGGCCCUAGAGUAGCUCAUUCUGAAAGUCUUACAACGUAGCUCAGCCUGAAAAAAGUACCAUCAAUCAAUAUCUUCUAUUAACAACAAUAAGUCUUUGGAUGGUUGGUGAAAGUGUUCAUCGCACCUACUCGGCCACAAUCUCAUUCUGAAAGUCACUCCGCUCAGCUCAGCUCAUUCUUUUCCUCAAGGUAACAUAGC